rnacentral:rRNA from 1 species
CCUACGGGGGGCAGCAGUGGGGAAUAUUGCGCAAUGGGCGAAAGCCUGACGCAGCGACGCCGCGUGAGGGAUGAAGGUCUUCGGAUCGUAAACCUCUGUCAGCAGGGAAGAACGGUCACUGUGCUAAUCAGCAGUGAAUUGACGGUACCUGCAAAGGAAGCACCGGCUAACUCCGUGCCAGCAGCCGCGGUAAUACGGAGGGUGCGAGCGUUAAUCGGAAUUACUGGGCGUAAAGCGCUCGUAGGCGGUAUGUCAAGUCAAGGGUGAAAUCCCCGCGCUCAACGUGGGAACUGCCUUUGAAACUGGCAAACUGGAGUGUGUGAGAGGAUAGUGGAAUUCCAGGUGUAGGAGUGAAAUGCGGAGAUAUCUGGAGGAACAUCAGUGGCGAAGGCGACUAUCUGGCACAUAACUGACGCUGAGGAGCGAAAGCGUGGGUAGCAAACAGGAUUAGAUACCCCGGUAGUC